UUUAGGGUUGAGGUCCUGUGGAAUCUGAGGCUGAGCUGGAAAGAUCCUUGCUGCCUUGAUGAAUACCACAUGGGGGUCAGCCCUGGCGGGGGGGUCUCUGGAGAGGGGAGGAGGGUCCUGUUUUGUCUUUAUCACAGCACUAAACAUGUCCUGAACUUGGGCAACAGUGCCCCUAAGCUGAAUACUUCACACAAUAGGGGGUUUAUUUAGCUCAGCCUGUUAGAGAUCAAAGAGCAUGAUGACGCUAGAUCUAUCUAUCUACGAAUGGUGGGCAUUACAGUGGAAGUGUUUGAGAAAGGGAGAGACCACUCAGCAAAACAGGGCACCAGUAAGAAAGACAAAGCCUCCUUUGUAACAACCCCAUUUUUGUGAGAACUAAUCCCAUUUAUAAAUCCAAUUUCUCUCUUCAGAGGAAGGCGCCUCCAUAAUCUAUUACCUUGUACAAAGCCUCACUGAAAGGCUUCAUCACUUCAACACCACCACACUGGGAACAAAGCUUUCAGCCCGUGAACCUUUGGGGAACAGGACACACUCAGACCAAAUCUAACCACAGCUAUGAGUCGGCCAGGACGGUGCUGAAUCCUCAACACCCACUCACCCAGAGUCUAACUCCUGACUUCCCAGCCUGACCACACCUCUCUUUCUAGGAGAUCAGAGAAAGAAUGCAUGCAACAACAGUGCCAGUCCCUGCUCGGGAGAGCCUACUUCUAGCUCAGCACAGUGUUUGAGUUCUAUAUGUCACCUCAGGCAUUCUUUAGUGUUUAGCGUAGUAACCAUGGAUUGGUCCCAGAGGCCUCUACAGGCCAGCUUCCCUCUUUACCUGGAAUGGCACUGAGCCUUGGAAAUAUUGACGCUGAGAUAACGACAGCAGCUGCCACGGAUUCCCUCAGUAGAUUUCUACUCACAGUCAACCAUCCAUUGCUGUCAGUGGCACAUUGCUUCUAACACCCUCCAAAUAACACAGAGUGCGAAUGCUCAAAUCCCAUAUAUACAAUGGUAUCCCUUGUUGCAGUAAAAUUUAAAAAGCCUAACCUUUUAUCCCUGCACUAGUGUGGCACCCGAGGGGCCGCAUGACACUGUGGGGCACCCUUAUCUCAGCGGCUCCAUGCUGCCCCCAAGUACUCUCUGACCCAGGCAGUCAUGGGCCAUUCCACACUGGUCCUUCAUGUCCUUCCGCACAUGUGCCUUGCCACACUGGUCUCUAGUGUUAGCUCUCGCACCCGUGGGGCCAAAUGGAACUAAUCAUAGUUUAUGUCUGGUUAAUAUCUCUCCCAGUGGCUCUUUGCUAGCCGAGAAUUCUCUGGUUACAGCUACCCAGUGAAAUCAAGACUCGACAAACUGCAACCCAACAAUCAGAUUUAUAUGUUAAAUUCUCAAUCCACAAUACAUCCGCACAAUAAACUCACAACCAAUUGAUAAGGAUAUAAACCGCCCACCUAGAUAAGAUAAAUUUGCCUACAGAAAUCCAUCCCUUAAGAAAUAUACUUUACUACCUUGGCAAUUCAAGACCACCUGGAUCUGGGUCAUUCUUCGUCUCCAUCUUGAUUCUCCUUCUCCUUCCCCCUCUCUCCCACCUUACAAAAACUUUGUCCCUGCCUUAUUUUUUUUUACUGUCCAAUCAUGGCCUUGACCUAACUUGUGCCAGCCCUUACCUGCAUAUAGACAUCAACCUACAAUCCCUAUGCACAUUCUCCUGAAUGCUAUUUCUCUACAUUCCUUGUAAAUACUAACGUAAUGUGAAUGCUACGCAAACCGUUGCUGAACUGUACUGCUUUUGUGUCUAGUAUUUCAUACUCCUCCAUCGUUAUAUUUUUUUAAAGAUUUAUUCAUUUAUUACAUAUAAGUAACUGUAGCUGUCUUCAGAUAAACCAGAAGAGGGCAUCAGACCUCUUUACAGAUGGUUGUGAGCCACCAUGUGGUUGCUGGGAAUUGAACUCAGGACCUCUGGAAGAACAAUCAGGGCUCUUAACUGCUGAGCCAUUUCUCCAGCCCCCAUCGUUAUUUUUAUUGUUCACCCCUCAUAGUUUUUCGGUCAGCAGUUGAGCGAAUCUGUAGAUGUACAAGUCACGAUUACCAUAGGGCUGACUACAUAUUGCUGAAAUACUUUGAGGUGCUCAAACCAAUGCAUAUAUUUUUUCUGGAUACCAUGUUCCCAGUCCCAGAGGACAACUGCUGGGGCUUGUUGUCUCUCCCUGAAGACCUUUUCUCUGUACUGUGCCCACUUUGGUGUGCACGAGGAGUAUCUGAGUAAGCAUCGUGAGUAGCGGAAUCUGUCCAUGAUGGUUUUCAGCUCAAUGUUUCCCACCAUCCACCUGUAUUAUUGAGUGAAGCAUAUGUCAGCUUGUGGCUGCUGUCUUCCUCAGCACAAACACAGCCUUGUGUGGUCUGUCCUUCACUGAGAGUUCUGGGUGAGAUUCUGCAGCUCCAGUCUGCUGUGGACAGAGCAAACAUUUGCACUUCGCCUUACACCCAUACUUUGAAAUCUAUUUCCCAGGAAGAGGAUAGUAAGAGGUGAUACCUUUGAGAGGUAAUUAGGCCAUGAUGGUGAAGUUCUUGUGAGUGAUGCUAAUCCCCAUGUAAAGAGACUUAUUAUCAUUAUUAUAAACUGCACAGGUCCAUGUUCUACGCUUUAUUUCUUUUUAACGUGCAUUUACUCGGUGGUGGGGCGCUCCUAUUAUGACAUGCAUGAAGAGAUCAGAGGAUAACUUGCAGGAGUCUGUCCUCCCCUUCCACUGUAUGGGCCUCAGGGAUUGGAUAGAGGCUGUUGGGUUUGGCUUUUUUUUUUUUAAGAUUUGUUUAUUAUAUAUGAGUAUACUACAGCUGUCUUCAGACACACCAGAAGAAAGCAUCAGAUCCCAUUACAGAUGGUUGUGAGCCACCAUGUGGUUGCUGGGAAUUGAACUCAGGACCUCUGGAAGAGCAGUCAGUGCUCUUAACCACUGAGCUGUCUCUCCAGCUCAAUUUUGGCAUCUUUACCACUGAGAUAUCUCAUUGGUCCCUGUGUGCCGUACUUUUAUGUGACUGACAGCAUAGUGCAUUUUUGUGCUGCAGUGGCACCCCAGACACAUGGGUGGUACACUACACUCCCAUGCUAUGAGAGCUGCCAUGUCAUGUCCCUGGACAAUGGGACUUUUCAGCUACAUUAACCAUCCUGUAAAACUGUCUUCAUUCAUAUGUUCAUCAGUGACCAUUACAUCAUUAUGUGGUAUCUGACUGUCAGGGGAAAGCCCCAAAUACUGUUACACCCUUAGUAGGUGUUCAAUAAAAAGUUUUCCUUUCAUUCCACAUUCAUCUUUAGCUGGAAAGAAUUCACAGAUGAAUAAGCCACUUGCCACUGUCUCCUGUGGCACCGAGCCAAUGAAAAGAGCCUUACUGACUGCUGAAAGCCAGGCACCAGGCCAAAGGAAGCUGCUGGUGGUGGUGUUUCCCUUGCAGGAAACAUCCAUGUUAGUAUAUCCAACAGCGACGCAUCCAGAUAGCAUGGGACUCCAAAUGUGGACAACUGAUAAAAAGCUCUUGGUCCCACCUCUGAGGUGUGUGUGUGUGUGUGUGUGUGUGUGUGUGUGUGUGUGUGUGUGUGUGUUUGUGUGUAGGUAUAUGUAGUGGGAUCACCUAUGUCUGCAUGUGUAGAGGCCAGGGGUCAAUGUUGACUAUCUUUAUCGGUGGCUCUCCCCUAGUUUUUUGAGUCAGGGUCCCUGACUAGCUAGACUCCUGGCUAGCAGGAUCUCAAGAUCCCCCUGUCUCUGGUCCCCCCCCCCCCAAAAAUAUGUGCUACCAUCUGGCUCUUCUGUGGAUGCCAGGGAUCAAAUUCUGGUCUUCAUGCUGAACACAGCAAGAAGUUUACUCGUUGAACCACUACCGCAGCCCACCUCAGAGCUUUUCAUGAAGAAAAUCUUGGGCCUGAAUCCGGAGAAUUUGCUUCACAGUUGACUUCCUAUUUUUCCGAUAAAGAGGAGAUGGCAAAUCCAGUUAAAGGAUGCCUACAGACAGGCCAGACAAACUGGGAAGGAGGAAUGCUGUCCAAACACACUGACUCAGUUAAUACAACAAAACCCAAAAACCUAAAAAUGUGUAACUCAACCCCAGAGAGAUGAUGUUUGAAGAAUAGAGGUAUUUAAGGAACACAAAAACAAAGGAGACAAAGCAAAACAGACCCAUAGGUCUUCAGAUAACGUCGGACUGCGCAAUGUGUCUCUUCAUUCCUUAAUCCCGUGAGUCAUCUAACUCGAAGUACGUUAAUUGCUAUGUUUAAUCUGCAGAGGAGUAAUGGGGCUGUAACGAGCCUCAGAAGGUCAAGGUCAAUUUUGAAGAAAGCUGGCCAUUGGGAUCUGACUGAGGGCAAGGCUAUGGUGGAAAGGACAUCUCAGGUCUCAGAGCAGCCAAGACAGAGAUGCCUGAGAUGACAGAGUGGAGCCUGGGUGCUCUGGGGAGCGGAUAUUUGCUGGGAACAUGAGAAAGAAGGUGGAACCAACGCUGAGAAGAAAACUGAUACAAGGAUCUUGAGAUGGAGAUGAUCUUAGACUUUUAUAGUCUGGAAUGAACCAUAACUGCUCUUAUGAGAAGUCAUGAGGCACUUCUUCCUGGGAGCUGUUACCUGGUGGCCUGACUGCUCUAUCGGUCAGGAAAGGAGUCCAGCAGAGGAUAAAGAAAAGUCAUCAAGCCAAUGGCCUUGCGAACCUCCAGUUCCUUCUCCAACCCCGGGUUGAAGCUAUGUCUGCUCAGUGUUGCUUUUAGGUAUCUUACAAAUUACCCACCUCCCAGAUCUUCCCCCAGAGCAAGUGUCUGUUGGAAUAACUGAUGUUCCCCUGGGGUCUUCUUUGUGGGCUGGCAUGGCCUGAAAGACCAUGGAGGAGCUCAGGGAAUGUUUUAGAAGUGGGGUGGGAGGGUCGCAAACUGGUGGUCGGCAUCUUUGCCAGGUUAGGGCCUCUCCUCAGAUCACCGUAUCCAGAACCAUCUGUCAUUUCACCUCUCAGAGUCUCCAUUUCUGUCCCUAGCCCGUGCCUCCUUGAGACAGACCACCCUUUCUGCAGCAGAAGAUGACUUUCAUCCUGUGGUAGCUGGCUCCUGCACAGACCCAGUAUAUUAUAUUCUUUUGUGUUCCUCUAACGUGGGUAACUAAGUCUGAGAAUUUAUAGCAAAAACAGGUUGAUUUAGCUGACAGUUUAGGGAACUGAAAAACCAAAGAUGAGGUAGGCCCAUUUUUUCUGGGAUUUGGUGAGGACCCCCAUGGCUAGAUCACAGUAUGGCAGGAAGAAAAGCAGCAGGGAGAGAGCUGUGUGCGGGAGGAGCCAAUCACAUUGACUCACUUAACGACUCACUGAUGAGAUCAAAAUUACUUUGACAGACCAGCAUUAAUCCUGUCUAGGUGGAACCCCAUGACCAAAGCACCUAGCACAGUGCUAGACACCUUUUAAAGGUGCCACCACCUCUCAGUAUCGCAAAGCUGGGACCGAGCUUCUAGUACAGGAAUGUUCGGAGGACGUACUCAACGUACUCAAAUACCAUCCAAAUCAUGACGUCUAGGUAGAGCGUGCCUUAGAUUCUUGGUAGGGAUACUGAGUGGCUGGUGUGAGGACCAGGCUGCCUCUUCUUCCCAUUGUCAUUCUUGGAGGACAAGGGCAGAGCUGGGUCUGAUCCAGCACCUGUGUCCCCCAUUUCCUACAUGUAAGGGUCAGCCUGCUUGUGUGUUGCAUAGACAGCUUCUACAGUCCUCUGGAAAGCUGGUUCCUCCAGAAAGUCAUCAGCACCACAAUCCUAGUGUGUCCCCUUCCAUGACGUGAGAUCCUGCUUCACCCUCCUCCCCUGCACACAGCCAGGUACAGUCCCAGGCGCCAGGUGAGAUGGAAACCUGAGUGCUUGGUGUUGAAGAACCUCUGGGCCUCCCUGGUACCUCUCCUUCCGGCUCCUGGUUCUGACAACUUCCUUAGCUUUCUCAGGUCCGUUUCCUGUUUCUAGUCCCUUCACCCCUUGUAUACCUACCUCCAAAGCCAUUCUUUUAUCCUCUUGGUCUCAUGUCCAGCCUCCUCUGUGGCUUCCCAUGACUGUGUUCCUUUGGGACGUGAUGCCUCAGCCCCUGGACUCUGAGCUUCAAUAGACUCCUCUUGGAAACCCAGUGAAAACUAGACCCCAGACAAUACCCUGCAUCACUUGGGUCUGUGGAUCCAAGAUAGGGACUUGUCCCCAGUCUCUGUUAUGUACACCUUCCUGCCAGGUAGUGCUAGGGUAGCAGGAAGAGCAGGACUGUCACAAAAGAUGCUCAAAUUCACUGUGCCUCCUGUAGGUUGCUCUGCCACACUCCACAUCCCCACCGUUAACAGCAGGCUCUGUUUCAGAUCUGGCUCUGGUUUCAUGCCUGGCCACCAGGCAUGCCAAGGAGGCUGCAGGCUGGAUUAUCCUAAUUAACAGUACCUGCUUCAACCAUAGGCUGAGACAGCUGGGACAUGGCAUAGAGCCACGUCUUUCUCAGUCCAAAGCAGCAUCGAGGGAGCAAGAGAAUAGACUCUUUCCACCAUGCAAUCCUGGAGAGGUAAUUCAGGUGCCCUGCAACUCCCCAUGGUUAUAUACUGAUGAAAACAUCCUUAGCUGAGCGCACCUUCAGUACACCUAAAGAAUGCCACAGUUCAGCCACAUAGUUGUGGUGGUUUGACUAAGAAUGGCCCCAAUAGGCUCAUAUAUUUGAAUGCUUGUUUAUCGAGGAAUGGCUCUACCUGAGAGGGAUUAGGUUAGGUGUGGCCUUGUUGGAGUUAAAUGUGUGUGGCCUUUGAGGUUCACAAGGACCCAAGUCAGGCCAAGUGUUUCUCUCUCUCUCUCUCUCUCUCUCUCUCUCUCUCUCUCUCUCUCUCUUCCCCUCCCUCCCUCCUGAUGCUACUGAUGCCUAUGGAUCCAAAUGGAGAACUCUCAGCUACUUCUCUAGCACCAUGUCUGCCUGUGUACUGCCAUGUUCCCUGCCAUGAAGAGAAUCCUCUGAAACUAUAAGCCAGGCCCAGUGAAAUCCUUUCCUCUAUAAGAGUUGCCACUGACCGAGACAACGGUGUGUGGAGGAAUAUCAGUCGCCAGUCCUCACGCUGAACAACUGUGAUUCACUACCACUUCUCAGUGUUGAGAGACAAGAGGACCUCGUGUGGUUAGCCCAGGGAAAGGCCUGAAUUCAAACUCUGAAGUAUUCCUUCUGCCAAGAGCCUAUUGCUUUCAUGCCAUUGCGCAGUGAACAAUCACUGGGUGAAAUCAUGGUUAAGAUGGGGCCAGCACAAGGAAAAUGUGCAGGUGGGAGCUGGUUGUGGAUAUUCUGUGCAAGUUCUUCUGCAGCUUGGAGGACGUGAACUAGAUCAAGGUUUUCAGAUGACCAACUCUGGGCUGAAUUCUAUCACAGACCAGGUGCCCACCUACCUGUUCAUUUUGAGCAAGACAUACCCUGGUGUGUGAAAGGCCACAGACAGCAGCGGGGGUCACUGGAGCAUUGGACUGAGAGCUAAAUGGAGACAAAUUCAUAAAUGGCUCAUCCCAGGAGAAACACAGGCUAUUCCAUGCCAAGCUCUCAGUAGGCUUCUAACAACCCUGUUUCCAGGCAGCGUUUGCAGAGCCCGCUCUGUUUCCCCUAGUACUGUAGGGCUGGGAAUUUGCAGCACACUCUAUGGCUAACCAACACUCUGCCCCAGAUUUUAAAUUCUGAAUUUUAGCUUUUAGCCACUUCCAGGGAAGCAGGACUGGAGGGCAGAGAGUUCUCAGACUCCUUCCUUAGCCACGGUACAGCAGCACAACAGCUCUCACCUGUACCUGAUCCUACCCACUUGGCAGAGUUCUCCAUUCUGUGUGUUGAGGGAUCAUUUAAGGGGCAUGAAAUCCCUAAGUGCCACUUGGGCAGACAUUAAGGGGAGACCCUGGUCCCCACAAAGCAGUGACUCAGUGAAGAAAGUCCUGUAUAAGCCAGAUGUAUGCCAUUUCUGGGUUUUGGGUUUGUUGGGGAGGUUUCUAAGGAGGACACUGGGCCUGGAACCCAGAACUAACAACAGAGGGUGCUCUCAGGUGGGCGAGGCAGCGUUGCAGUUGGGGAGGCAGGGUGUGGUGGCUUUGGGCUGGGACCAGUGAUGAGCUUGGAAUUCCCCAGGGCUUUUCUGAAGUCAGAGAACUGGGGUGGAGUGGGUUGUCUCUCCAGUCUUGUCCAGUGCUGGCCACAGCGGGGAAGCCCUAGGUGGGUGCUGCAGACAGCUGGUACACCCUGUCUUCAGCAGAAAAUUUAAGUGGACUGGGAAAACUAAGGGGCUGGGUGGGGGAAAUGUCCCAGAGCUCCAAGAUGAGGUCAUUCCUGCUUAGCAUUCAAGAUAGGAAUCGAAGGACUAGGGGCAGAGGAGAUGGCUCAGUGACUUAGGACAUUUGCUGCUCUUGUAGAAGACCCAGGUUCAAAUCCCAGAACUCACAUCGUGGUGUGCAACCACCUGUCACUCCAGCUGUAAGCACAUGCACACACAGACACACAGACACACACACACAGACACAGACACACACACACACACACACACACACACACACACACACACACACACACGGAGGCUGGGGGACACAUAAAUAAACUAGACAAAUAUUUUUGAGGAGCGAAAAGGACAGUGAGUCAGGAGACUGCUUACCCAGCACAGUACAAGGAGAAAGUCUUGACCGGGUCAUAUUUAGGCCCGGAGGAGACUGUUGUUUGAUUACAGGACUUACCCUAAUUGGUCCUUCUCUGCUACUGACCCAGAGGGAAGUGAGGAAGAUCCAGAGGGAAGUGAGGAAGAUAGGGAAAACAUUUUACAUGGUCAGAGAAGAAAUGUCCUACCCCCAGUUCCUGACCAAAAAGGCUGGGGUUCAGAGCACGGCUGAAGCAUCAGUAGAAUGAGGCAAGUGGGAGUAGAUGGGGGUGGGGGGACAAGGGUCCCUGUCCACUGACUCUGGACCAGAUGAAGGAGGGCCUGAUCAGCUCAUGCUGUGAUAAGGACUCUCACUGACACAGGAAACACGAUGGUAGAGAGCCCAGGAGGGCUACUGAGGUCAGUGCGGAGAGGUUGCUACAGCUUUAAAGUGUCUCCUAAGGUUCAUGUGUUAGAAACUUCAACUUCUUGGCCAACAAGAUGGCUCAGCUGGUAAAGGCCAACUCUGUCUGCCUGAGUACAAUUCCCGGGAUGUACAUGGUAGAAGGAGAGAUCUAACUCCUGCAAGUUGUCCUCUGACAUCCAUAUGCAUAUAUAUGUGACUCCAUGUCUGUGUGUAUACAGACAGACAGACACAAUUAAUGUUUAAAACCCACAAAAUCGUUUGACUCCCAUGUAACAGUGUUGAAAUUUGGGGUCUCUAUGGUUAGGUCAUAAAAGCUUGACUUCCGAAUAGAGAUUGAUGCUGAUGCCCUUAUUUUUGAAAUGGGCCUGUAUGAAAGUCAGCCCCCAUGUUGCCCCUAAAUCUUUUGCCUGUCCUUGGAUCCUGUUCCCCCAACUAGGCUGCCUUGUCUGGCCUCAGUGGGAGAGGAUGGGCCUAGUCCUACAGUGCCCUUAUGUGCCAGGGUGGGGUGAUACCCUGGAGGACCUACUUCUCAGAGGAGAAGGGGAGAGACUAUGCAAGGGGUGGGGGGAGAGACCAGGAGGAGAGGUAAGGUGACUAAUGAAAAAAAAAUUUGGCUUCCACAACCCCCCCAGCAUUCUGUUGUGGGAUAUAUAUGCCUAAGACUUUCACUAGAUGUGUCUCUCCUAUGUCACAGCCUUCAGAAUUGUUUAUCUAUAUAAAUUCUGUUCACAAGAAAUGAUUUAAUCCUUGAUAUUCUGUUAGAGCAACACAAAAGGGACUGAGGCAGAAGCUUGGGUGAGCUCAGACUUGGGUGGGUCCCAGCACAAGCCAGGCUGCAGCUGGCCCAGAACACCGGGUCAGGAUCAGGGCAUCGGAACCAGAAUGUAGGUGGUCCAGCAGUACUGAGACUCUCUGCUCAGAGGCCUCUGAGGUUUCUUGGGCCCAGCCUCCUCCCCCUGGCAUUUAAGGCCUGCUAUGUUGACAUGUCUGACACCCAGUAACCAUUCCCAUGGCUUCUCUUUAGACAGGCCAGGAUCUCCUGUCUCCUAUAAGCAUACUUCACUCUCAUCUCUCACACUCGACCUGGCCUGAAGUAGUCUAUUCUUAAACAAAGCCUGUUCCUUCUCCAGUUUUAUCUCAGGAAGGCCCUCCAUGAAGCUCUUCCUGAAGCAUUCCAGCCAGAGGGACAAGGAAUGUUUCUGGAGCCUGGAACACAUUGGCCAGUCACUCAACGCAGGGAAGAAUUCCAGGAUAUGGCCCCAGCCAUUCUAAAGAAAAUGGCAUCUGCUGUCCUUGUUGCAUGGAACUGACAGUCACAGGGGAGAAGCAGAUAGCCUGGGGAAUGAUCAGACUCACCAUGACAAUGCUGACAUCUGUGAUGAUGGAAACACACUUGGUCAUUGAUGUCCUAGAGGAUAAGACCCUCCUCCAAGAAUGUCCAGGCUAUGACCCCUGAGCCCACAGCCUGGCUCCUACUGCAUCUGAACACCUCUCUUCUUGGGUUUGAACUCAAAUUGGCUUCUCUUGGUCCAUUUGGGAGAGAUCUCUCCCAAAUCUUCAGAUGCUCAAAUCUCUCCUGUAAAAUAGUGUAAAGUUUACAGAUAACAUAUGCAUGUCCCCAUAUCCUUUAAAUGAUCUCUAUAUGACUUCUAUCUAAUACACUAUAAUGUUUUAUACAUUUUUAUGUUCUAAGAAAUUACAUUUCAC